rnacentral:lncRNA from 1 species
GCUUGCCCUCACUGCAGAAUCUUCAGGAUGAGGACACCGUUUAUGGAUCAACAGUUGGUUUGGUUCACAAGCCUAUGGCCCGUGACUCAUAAGUGAGAGGUUAAUAUUUAAUGCCCCGGAUGGAUGCUCAUCAGAUCCCAGGAUCCAAGUGAGUCCUAGUUCAGAGAAGAAUGACUGUCUCCCGGCUGGGAGCAGCAGGUACGAGCUCCUGCCUACGCUGUGUCACGUGGGCUGUGAGACCUCCAUUCCUUCUCGACUCCUGCCUGCCCACUGAGGUGAGCUCUUUGGGGUUUCUCUGACUGGUGGGCACCGGCCUACAGUCAUUUCUUCGGGAAGGAGGCUCUCCCUGGAAAAGCUGAUCUGCAAUUCGGCUGGGAUCGAUGCCGUGGAGACUGCAUAAAUUGAAUAACUCAGUGUUCCCUUCUGAACGCGAAUGUGCCAAGACCAGGCCCCACAUGCUGCUGUGUCAGGAUCACCAUGCUCAGACAGCAGCAAAAGUGGGCACUGGAUGUUGUGAUACCACAUUCUACAGAAGUCGUGGUGCACAGUGGCUUCCACUCAUUGGAGUUGAGCAAAAACAGCUUGCG